rnacentral:lncRNA from 1 species
AGACAGGGUUUCUCUGUGUAGCUCUGGCUGUCUUGAAACUCACUCUAUAGACCAGGCUGGCCUCAAACUCAGAAUUCCAUCUGUCUCUGCCUCCCAAGUGACAGGAUUAAAGGCAUGCACCACUACUGCCUGGCCUUUUUUCACUAUUCUUAUGUCCUUAUAUUUGUAAUUUUGUAUCUGGUAGAUAAGUUUUCUCUCUAAGUUUUGUCAAAAAUUGUUCGUUCGUUUGUUUGUUUGUUUGGUUGGUUGGUUGGUUGAUUUUUUUUGUAAGAGACCUUCCUCGAGAUAUGCCCUGAAUACUACAUGGAUGUGUGGCAUUGCCUUUGGAGUGAGUUCUGGGUAAGGAGCUAUCCACCUGAGUGCACUCAGCCGACCAGAAGUCACACCUUUACAGAAAACUGACUCUCCGGUCCUCAGAAGACAUUGGGGCUCAUGAAAACCUACCCACUCCAUGCUGGAAUGUGGUCUGGCUUUUGCAAGUCUUAUGCAGGCAGCCACAGCUGCUAUUGAUUUUAUAGAGUCAGAAAUUAUCUCUUAAUACAUCAAGAAAGUCACUGCAAAGGACUGAGGGGAGACUAUACUGCGUCCCUGGUUUGCAUUGUGGAUGUGCUAACUGACCUUUGUUUUGAGUCAAAUCUUUCAGUGACUU